rnacentral:rRNA from 1 species
AUUGAACGCUGGCGGCAUGCUUUACACAUGCAAGUCGAACGGUAACAGGGUGCUUGCACCGCUGACGAGUGGCGAACGGGUGAGUAAUGCGUCGGAACGUGCCGAGUAGUGGGGGAUAACGCAGCGAAAGUUGUGCUAAUACCGCAUACGUACUGAGGUAGAAAGUGGGGGACCUUCGGGCCUCACGCUAUUCGAGCGGCCGACGUCUGAUUAGCUAGUAGGUGAGGUAAAGGCUCACCUAGGCGACGAUCAGUAGCGGGUCUGAGAGGAUGAUCCGCCACACUGGGACUGAGACACGGCCCAGACUCCUACGGGAGGCAGCAGUGGGGAAUUUUGGACAAUGGGCGAAAGCCUGAUCCAGCCAUGCCGCGUGUCUGAAGAAGGCCUUCGGGUUGUAAAGGACUUUUGUCAGGGAGGAAAUCCCUAGUGCUAAUAACACUGGGGGAUGACAGUACCUGAAGAAUAAGCACCGGCUAACUACGUGCCAGCAGCCGCCGUAA